AGAAUUUAUAAAAUGUGCUUGUUCAAAAAAUAAACCAAAUUUACAACUUAAUUUGUUCAUGUAAAUUGCCUUGAAAAUACAUUGCAGCUAAGAUGUGCACAAGAUUUUAUGUGCAUUUUGGAAAAAAUUACACAGAAACACCUGCUUUUUCA